CCUCCGCGUCUACGCGUAACUCAGCGACCAGGUGCUGCACUAACGAUGUGCUCCGCAGCCAGGGUCACCCUGCUCCUGUGAGGAGGGGACGCCAAAAGCAGGAAUCUCGCCUGGGAGGUCCCCACCCUCUGAUAAAACACACACAGCUGCACCAAGGACGUCUGGGAAACAGGCAAGUCUGUAAGCGCUUGCUCUUGAAGCAAUUCCCGAUUCUUCUGCCCUGAAUAACUCAUCAUCUUGAGGUUGCCAAGAACCGUCGGUCAACGAAGGUGUGGGCCAGCUGUCACAGGACAGAGGUGAGCUGGGCUGAGGAUGGUGAGCUGGACUGAGGAUGGUGGGCAGGAGGCCGGCUGCGGGGGAGGAGGAACUCCCAGAUUCUGCAGAGCCCUCAAACCCCACCCAUCUCCACACCUGGAAUUUAGGGACAUGCUACCCACUACCUACUCUUGACUUUAUAGGAGUACGGGGAAGCUUUUCAGGGGUUAUGUAAUUGUUCCUCAUUUUAAAAGUGAAAAAUAUUAACACAGUGCUCAAGUGAAUGGAUCUGGGGCCGGACUGCCUGGGUUCAAAGCACAGCUCCACCACAUUGCUCAGUCUUCCCCUCGCUUUCCUCUUCUAUGAAAUGGAAGUCAUAAUAGUAGCUAUGCUUGGCUUUAUUUUAAAGAUUAAAUGAAGGAAGACAUACAAAGUACUUAGAACAAGUCCUGUUGUAUAGUAACUACAAGUAUUGUCAGUAUCUUUUUUUUCUUUUUUUUUGAGAUGGAGUCUCUCAGUGUUGCCCAGGCAACACUAUGAAGGAGAGAAACACUAUGAAUCUAAUGAAUUUGGAAAAUUUAGCAAGAAAUUAAACUUUACCCAACAUCAAAGAAUGUACACAGGAGAAAAACCUGAUGAGUGUAAAGAAAAUUAGAAAGCCCUGAAGAAGUUAUACCAUACUCAAAAUGAGAGAACUCAAGCAGGAGAGAAAAUCUAUGAUUGUAAGAAAUGUGGGAAAUUCUUUCAUGAAAAAGCAUGCCUUACUCAACAUCAGAGAACCCACACAACAGGAAAACCCAGCAAGUGUAAUGAUAGUGAAAGAGUCUCAAAGAAGGAAUCUUGCCUCACUCCCAGUCAGAGAAUUAAAACAAGAUUAAAACAAGAGAGAAAAACUGUAAAGGUAAUAAAUGUGAGAAACCUUUCUUUGAGAAGUUGAAACACACUCAACAUCAGAGAAGGCACUUGGGGAAAAAAAAUAAUGGGUGUAAUGAAAGUGGGGUUGCCUCAAGUAGGAAGUCACAACUUACACAAAGCCAGAGAGCUCACAAAAAAGAGAAGACCUAUGACUGUAAUAAAUGUGGAGAAAGCUUCCAUAAGAAAACAGAUCUCAGACAGCAUCAGAGCACACACACAGGGAAAAAAAACCCUAUGAAUGUAAUGAAUGUGAAAAAUCCUUCGUUGUGAAGUCCAACUACACUGAACAUCAGAGAACUCACACAGGAGAAAAACCAUAUGAAUGUAAUGAAUGUGGAAAGUCCUUCUGCCAGAAAUCAGCCCUCACAGUACAUCGGAGAACUCACACGGGAGAGAAACCAUAUAAACGUAAUGAAUGUGGGAAAACCUUCUGUGUGAAAUCAAACCUUACUCAACAUCGAAGGACUCACACACUGUGAGAAACCCUAUAAAUGUAAUGAGUGCUGGAGAUCUUACUGUGUGAAAUCCAACCUUGUCGUGCAUCAGAGAACUCAUACAGGAGAAAAACCCUACAGAUGUCCUGAGUGUGGGAAAACCUUCUAUGAAAAGUCAGCCCUCACAAAACAUGAGCGAAUUCACACAGGGGAAAAACUCUAUGGAUGUAAUGAAUGUAGAAAAACCUUCAGCCAGAGGUCAGCCCUCACCAAACAUCAAAGGAAAACACACAAGAAGAAAACUCCCAUCAACACCCUCCAUGUGCAGAAACCUGCAUCUUCAAGCCAAAUUUGUUGAACAUCAGCAAACUCACAGGGCAGAAACACUAAGCCCUAGAGGUGGUAGAUGCUUUCUGCAGUCACUACCGCCAUGAGACCUUAGAGUUCUUUUGAUCCUUUCCAGAGACCUACUUAACAACUUUAUACCCAGUUAACAAUUCUUUAUAUUGACUUAUGUCUGUUCAAAUAACUGGUGUGGUUUCUGUCUCCUGACUCAACCCCGAUUGACACAUUCCCUUGAAGGGGCAGAACAUCCCCUGAGACAAGAUGCAACUGUACACCUAAAUAAAAACAUAAAAUCUUCAAAGAAAGAUAAUGUCCUUCAGAAAAGGGUUUGUCAGCCAUAGGUGCCUGGCCCAGGGAGGAUCAGAGAAUAAACCCCAGGAUGACAUCUUCAGCAGUGACAAGAGAACAGACCACCACCAUUGACAGCCUGGAUGACUCUCAAGACCCCUGCUAUAGACUGAAUAGCUGCUUCAUGUGCCCCUGCCCUCCACCCCACCGCCCAUUCAUAUGUUGAAAACUAAUCCCCAAUGUGAUUUUAUUUAGAGUGGGGCUUUUAGGAGGUGAUUAGGUCAUGAGUGUGGAACCUUCAUGAAUGGGACUGGUGCCCUUUAAAAAAGAGACUUCAGAGAGCUCCUUUACCCUUCUGCCAUAUGAAGACACAGUGAGAAGAUGGCCAUCUGUGAACCAAUAAGGCAGCCCUCAUUAGACAUCAAAUCUGAUGACACUUUGAUCUUGGACUUCCCAGCCCCUAGAACUGUAAGAAAUAAAUAUUUGUUGUUUAUAA
rnacentral:sRNA from 1 species